rnacentral:rRNA from 1 species
GUGCCAGCCGCCGCGGUAAUACCGGCAGCCCAAGUGAUGGCCGCUGUUAUUGGGCCUAAAGCGUCCGUAGCUGGCCGACCAAGUCUCCCGGGAAAUCCACCCGCCCAACGGGUGGGCGUCCGGUGGAAACUGCGUGGCUUGGGACCGGAAGGCGCGACGGGUACGUCCGGGGUAGGAGUGAAAUCCCGUAAUCCUGGACGGACCGCCGAUGGCGAAAGCACGUCGCGAAGACGGAUCCGACAGUGAGGGACGAAAGCUAGGGUCUCGAACCGGAUUAGAAACCCCAGUAGUCC